GAAUUCAAAAUGGAAGAAUCGCAGAGCCUAUCGGCUCACGAUUUUGCCGUCUACAAAUUGCAGGACACCUGCAAAAGCAUCCUUCGGGACUUCGGGUUCACGUCUGUCGCACAAUCGGCGAACAGCAAACUGGCAGCCUUACUUAGAAGCAAGAUAAACGAGUAUGCACAUUCGACGAGAGCAUUUAUGGAAUUAGGUGGGGAAUUUUUUCUUCUCUCAAAAUAUUAUGCCAAUUUUCAAUUAUUUUCCAGCGGGUCGCACAAAACCGGUCACAAAUGAUGUGAUUGCAGCUUUCAAGCACCAAAAAGUUAGCCUUCCAGAUUUGAAGGAUUAUGCAAAACAGGUCAAAUCAGAGAUGCUUCAUGCGGUGAGGAUAUUAUGAUUUGUAACUGAAAUUUGAAAUUUGAAGAGAAAUCUAAAGAAAAGAGCUUAUUUUAUGGUCUGCCAGACGCCGGAAGUUAUUAGAAGCUAGAAAAAAAUUGAAGCAUUGAAAAUUAAAACGAAACCAAACAAAAAGAAAAAGAAAUCUGAAGCAAAAGUAGUUUUAUUCAAAAUCAAAAAUCAGCCAGAGUGCCCCAUUUCGGUUUGAUCUACCUAGAGAAUUUCGGGAAUUUAGUCGCAUACUUCUCAACUGAUUUUGCAUGAUUGAGAGUGUGCUGACGACACUUGUUUUAAGAACAAACUCCCGCAUUUUUUGUAGAUCAAGCCGUAAUGCGACAGCCUGACACCAAGUGUAUUUUGUGAUUGAGCAAAAUGUACUUUUUGAGGAAUCACUAGUUUUGGUGAAUCCAAAAAAUCUCCAAUUUGCUAGGACGUCCUCUUCCAGUUCUAAAAGUUUCCAAAAGUUGAAGUGAACAAUUUAUUUACUAUUUCAAAAAUUUUUGGAUGAGAAAACCACGAAAACCACAAAAAACUGAACUUAAAAUAUCCCGCAGUACUUAAAUAAAAUUAACUAAACUUAAAAAUUUUUGAAAAGUUAGAAUCAUCUAUAGAAAUAAAGAUCACAUAGCAAACAAAAAGCCACCAGAAAAACUAUCUAAUUUAUGCAAUUUUCAGCUCCCAGUUAUCCCGGUGCCUGACCAGGAAAUUGCAAAGUCAGAUGACAAUUUCUUCCGUUCCAUGUACGGCCCGAAACCAUCAGAAAAAGAGCUCGAGGAGCGUCGUGAGCACAUUCCUUCACACUUUCGAGCACUUCACCCAGAAUGGAUCGAAGAAGAAAACAAGGAGAAGCCGCCCGAUGACACGGGAACACGUAAAGUCGUAAAAAGUGCUGAAGAACGUGAACAGGAUGAGUUCAACAAGCUGAAAAGGAUCAACACCUACCGACGCAACGAGAAUCCGGAAGUUCAACAAGCUCGCGAGGAGAAAGAGCGUCGUGAGGCGGAGGAAGCCGCGUACGCCAAGAAACGGAAUCACGAACGAUUCAAAAAAGGAAUCACGGCGCUUCCUGGCUCGACCCUUCCAAACUUUGAAGAUAUGAACUUUGUUGAGACCGGAUUCUUUAAGGAUUUCGAAGAGAACAAGAGACUGGAAGCCGAGCGUCGCUUACAGGUUCAGAAUGCGAGCAAGGUUGCCCCGACGCUCCCACCGCCGGUAGUCAACAAGCCAUUACCGUCAUUUUCGACGGAUUCUGUUUCUGCAUCGUCAUCUGCAUCGGCUAGUAUAAUGGCUUCGCCAAGUUUGGGUGAGAUGGCCGAAGCAUUCCUAAAGGUGAGUUUUUUUCUCUAGAGAAAAUGUUCUAUUAGAGACUAAAUUUGAAAUUUUGGUGAAACUAGCUUUGUGAAAAUUGCCAACAGAAAAAAGACAGAAAAUAUAUCUAUGAUAUUGACGAUUUUUUUCUCAAAAAAUGUAUUAUGAUCUACCUCCAUUCAUGUGCAAAUCAAGAUGGGCUGCAAAUUUUCUAGAAAAAUCUACAAAACUGACGACUUUGGUGUAGUAAUCCAACUUUAAAGGUGUGUAAUUGUCGUGAAGUUUUUUUUUUGAAAAUUUCGAAACAUUGGUUCGCCGAAAAAAUUUGCACCAACGGCUGGUGAAAUUGUUUUUAGUAAAUGGGAAUAUUCAGACAGAUUUGAGAUUUUUUCAAAGUUUUCAACAAAAAAAAUGAUUCACUAUUUCUUUCACUACUAUACAUAUACUAGAACUAGACCUAAAAAAUAGAUUUGCCGCGUGCUCCUGGAGCAAAUUUUGAUGAGUGUUAGUUCACGUAUAAAUUGAAAUUUCAAAGUUCUGAUUUUCAAACAAAUUUUGACACGAUAAAGUUUUCAGACAAGUUUCAAAAUUUUAUUUAAAAAAUGUAUCAAAACUGCUCACCGAAAAUGUUUUAUUUUUGUAUUUCACCAAACUUUUUUCAGAACAAAAUCUUCAUGGACACUAUCAACGCCUACGGAAAAUCCUUCGAGCACAAGUCACCAUUCAAAGAUGAUUCUGGACCAGCAUUCCGAUUGUCCGAGUUGGUGAAACCCAAUAAGCCAUACUUGAAACUCCCUGGCACUGGCUCAAAUCCAGGAUCUGCUCCAUCGUCGAGACCUGGAAGCUCAAUGAGCAUUGGUACACCGACAAAAGUGAAGGGAUUGCCAGGGCGUCCGAAGAAGCCGAAGCCGGAAGGUGUUGUUACUGUGCCAAAACCGAAGGGUCGUCCACCAAAGAAAGCCACUUUGGAGAAG
rnacentral:sRNA from 1 species